rnacentral:rRNA from 1 species
GAUGAACGCUAGCGGCAGGCUUAAUACAUGCAAGUCGAGGGGCAGCGCGGGUAGCAAUACCUGGCGGCGACCGGCAAACGGGUGCGGAACACGUACGCAACCUUCCCAAAACUGGGGAAUAGCCCUCCGAAAGGAGGAUUAAUACCCCGUAACAUAACGAAGUGGCAUCACUUUGUUAUUAUAGUUCCGACGGUUUUGGAUGGGCGUGCGCCUGAUUAGGUAGUUGGCGGGGUAACGGCCCACCAAGCCUACGAUCAGUAACUGGUGUGAGAGCACGACCAGUCACACGGGCACUGAGACACGGGCCCGACUCCUACGGGAGGCAGCAGUAAGGAAUAUUGGUCAAUGGACGCAACGUCUGAACCAGCCAUGCCGCGUGAAGGAUGAAGGUCCUCUGGAUUGUAAACUUCUUUUAUAUGGGACGAAAAAGGGCAUUCUUGCUCACUUGACGGUACCAUAGGAAUAAGCACCGGCUAACUCCGUG